UACGGAGGGAGCUAGCGUUAUUCGGAAUUACUGGGCGUAAAGCGCACGUAGGCGGCUUUGUAAGUUAGAGGUGAAAGCCUGGAGCUCAACUCCAGAACUGCCUUUAAGACUGCAUCGCUUGAAUCCAGGAGAGGUGAGUGGAAUUCCGAGUGUAGAGGUGAAAUUCGUAGAUAUUCGGAAGAACACCAGUGGCGAAGGCGGCUCACUGGACCGGUACUGACGCUGAUGCGCGAAAGCGUGGGGAGCAAACGGG
rnacentral:rRNA from 1 species